rnacentral:sRNA from 1 species
GCAUGCCUGUCGGGACCCGA